UAAUGCCUCUUAAAUUAGAUUUACAUGUUUUCUUUCAUGCCACGUAGCCUACCCUAAACGCCGUUUGGUAUCACAUCAAACGUUCUUCACUUCUCUUUCAACGUCUCAUCUCUCAUGUUUAAACACCCAUCGAUUCUGCAAUUCCCGUUUCUCCUGUAAGCGCACCCGAUUUCCUCUCCAACAAGAACACGGAAGACAUCAGCCCAAAAAACCCUAAUUUCACAGACAAGCAAAUCAAAAAUUCAUCUAUGUCGUCUGAUGAUUGAUGACCUUUCCAAUUUCCUCAAUAGAGAACACCGACAACAUCAUCCACCAAAAAAAAAACAUAAUUUCGCAGCCUGUGAUUUCGCCACUUGAUCUUUGUCGACUGGGGAUUGAUUGAUGUUCCCAGAGUCUUCAAAAGAGGUACGCAUUGUAGCACGUGGUUCCUGGUUUUGAGGCAAAAGGGGAAGUAGAUCAAGAAGAAGGGAAGGAAUCCAGGCAUCUUUGUACUCCUUCAGUAGUUCCUUUGAGCCGGAGGAUUUCCGGAGCAGCAGCAGCAGCAGUAGGCAGUCAGUUCCCGAUCAGAUCAGCAGCUACUUCGAGGUAUCUCCUCAGCUAGGGGAAAGGAGCCGGCGUGGUAGCAGCAUGUCACACACACACACUCUCUGGUUUCCGCAUUUACGAGAUUCUCUGGGAUUUAUACUCUGAUAUUUUGAUUGGUUGUAUGAUUUGGCUUUUAGACAUGGUUUAUGUUGUGUUAUGGUUUGAUCAAACAAUGUUUUAAUUACUAAUGUUUUCUAAAGUAAUGUUUUAAAACGAAAUUUUUGGACGUGAAAAUUGGGUCGUUAUACGCAUUUAGUUCAAGUCAAACUUCAUAUUUUACCCUUGGACUCGACGAGUUAGAGGCUCAACUCGUCGAGUAGGAUCAACUCUGGGUCGGGGAACUAAGUGACCUACUCGACGAGUCGGAAUACUGACUCGGCGAGUAGAAGUUGUCUGUUGGAAACUCUGAUUUUUAGGGUUUGUCCCCCUAUUUAAAGAAACAUAACACCCUUGUGGCCUCCUUAUCACUCCUUCAACGUCCAGAAAACCCUAACUCGCCACCUUGAGCCUUGUGAGUGUUUGAGUGCCAUUUUUGAGUAAUCUUGUGUGAUUUGAAGUUUGUGUGAAGAAGAGGAAGAAGGAGGACUUCAAAAGAAGAUUGUAGAUCCAGGAACAACAACAUUUUCUCCUCCCUUUCUGGUAAUCAAGCUCCAUACUUGACUUGUAUUUUCUUAGAUCUCCCUGUGGCCAUUUUUAUGGAGUUUUGGGUCCAAGAAGCUUAAUCCUUGGGACUUGGACGUCCCAAGUUAAUAUAUCUUCAGAUCUGGAACCUUGGAGGGUCCUCAUGGCAUAAAGGUGCCAUCUUUAUGGCCAUGAGAACACCAUGUGUGAAAUAAACCCCAUUUUUGGUCCUUUGAGCAUAAAAAUCCCACACAUGUACGUAAAGUUCAUGACUUUACGUAUUAUAUCGAAUUAAGGACCCCAGAUCUACCUUUUGGAUGAGAUUUGUACAUCAGAAAUUGAGUUAUGGACUUGGACAAUAGCCGACUCGAUGAGUCGUUCUUGGGACUCGACGAGUCCGGGGGUUUGGUUCCCCCAACCUGUUGUGAUUCACAGGGAAUCAAGUUGAGUUUAGAAGGGAUGUAGUUGAGUCUAGAAGAAGGACCCAACGAAAUACACUUAGUUAUGGACCUGGAAACCAUGGGACUCAGCGAGUGUAUGAAUGCACUUGGCGAGUCCAAGGCCAUCUCCCAAUCCAUGAAGAGGGACUCGACGAGUUGUUCAUACAACUCGGCUAGUCACAGUCUAGACGUACUCAUUCGAUGAAACUGGAAUCGACGAGUUCAAGGAUGAACUCGGCGAGUCUGUUGAAGAUUGUCCCGAUGUUAUAGUUGAAGGAUAACUCGUCGAGUCUUGCUAGACUCGACGAGUAGAGUCGGGGUUGGGGACAGAUGAAAAAUAAGGACUUGGCGAGUUGGCGGACCAACUCGGUGAGUCAAGUCAUCUGGAUGUUGACUUUGACUAGAAUUUUGACCUUGGCCAGGGGUAAAAUAGUCAUUUUACCCUAAGAGUAGUUAUCAGCUUUUGACUAAGUAUCUUUAUGGAAAUUAUAGUCGGGGAGUCGCCGGAGCAGCAAACAGGGAUUUCUCACUUAGAGUUUCAGCAGCCAGUCAGAAGAGGUACUUCAGCAAGCAAAGGGAAGGGCUCGAGUUGAUGGCAUGGCACACACCACAGUUUCUAUUAGUCUGAGAGCUUACUCUGAUAUUUAUUAUGAGACAAUUAUACGUUGACCAAUUUUAUGAGACAUUGAGAAACAUGUUUGAUAAUUUGAUUUUAUGAUGAUAAUAUUAUGCUUGUUAAUUGAUUUUAAAAACGAAAUUUUUGGCUUGUAUGUUUUUUGGGAUGUUCCACAUUCAUAUAGACAAUAACUGUUGUCAUUAUUAUUAUUAUUAUUUUGUAAUGUCUGUUUAAUUUAAUAUAAGCAUUAAAUAA